GCUGGGAGUGGUGGCCCAUGCCUGAAAUCCCAGCUGCUAAGGAGGCUGAGGCAGGAAGAUCACUAGUUCAAAGCAAGCCUCAGCAAAAGUGAGGCACUGUCUUUA
rnacentral:sRNA from 1 species